AGAAACACAGAGUAGAGAAAUAAAAGACCAUCCCUUACUUUUUGCCUUGCUGGCCUGCUGCGCUAUUGUCAGAUACCUGUGAAAUCUUGCACUCUAACUCUGAAUCUAAUUCAAUUUCAGGUUAGAUUCUUUUGUCUUUUUGUUUUUUUGCUCAAUUUAUAAUCUGAAUUUUAUUGUUAGAGUCUUUAGAGAUUGAAAAUUUACUAAAUAUUUCUAAAUCUCUUAAAUAAUUUACAACUAGAAUAAAAUAAUUGAUACUUAGAUGACCCGAUUCAUCAUUUCCGAACAUAUAUUUGUUCUUUAAACAAGAAAAUACGGAAAAAAUUGGUGGAUGUGUAUACGAAUUUGGGACAUAGUUUGAAUUUUCAGAUUUUGAUUUUCAUCGUUCAUUAUAUUAUAAAGGCAUUUCACAUGGCACGAGCUGGAGACAAUAGAAUUUAAUUAUGGACUUCUUCUAUGAUGAUAACUCUCUGAAAGAAUAUUGAUUAGGAACUAUUUGAUUUUUAAAUGUUUCCUUCAUGAUGCCUAGACUCAUAUUUAAGAAGCAAAACUUGUAUAUUGCUCUUGGAUCAUGUGGAUGUGUUUUAUAAGAUUAUUGAUAGGCAACUUCAAGAACUUAACGUAUGUUUCAAUAAGGUGACAAGCGAUUUGUUUCAUGGAGUAGCUUGCCUAAAUCCAGUUAAUUCAUUUUCUAGUUUUGACAUCAGGAAGAUAGUGAGAAUGGCUAAAUUAUAUCCUGAUGACUUCGAUGAAUUUAAUUUGGGUGUCCUUGAGAAUCAACUUGCUAAUUAUAUUAUUGAUGUACGUGAUAUUGAUCAAAGGUUUUUCAAUUUAGGUGGACUUGGUGAACUUUCAGUAAAAGGAGGAGAAAGGUGUGCCUGCUGAAAAAGUGUCAUGAGGUGUUGGUAUUAUUUUUUGCUGAAACCAUGAGUAUGAGAUUCAGAUGAUUUGGUAGACCUAACAGAAACACCAGACCCAGCAAAAUCUCCACAUACCCUUUAGACUGAACACAAGAUGCAACCCCUUUGCUUCUUGUGAAUUUAAAAUCCUGAGGAAACCCAUGCAACCUGUAGCACUUCUCAAUAGUGUGCCCGAGUUUUUUUUUACAGUAUUUGCAAGUGAGGUUGGAUGUUGAUCCCUUUUUUAAGUCAAAUUGAACCCUUUGGCUGAUUCCUUUAUUGUUGUUGAAAUUACUAGAAAAAGGAGAACCAGUAGACACAGAAAAAGAGGUCGAUUCAUUUGAGAAGCUAGGGACAUGACUUGAAGUUUCCUUUUGCUUCUCAUCAUGUUGUAGCAUAGAGUAAGCCUUAUUGUUUGAAGGAAGAGAGGGCAUCAUCCGGAUAUUGCUCUUACAGGUGGAAUAACAGUCAUUUAGACCACCGGUGAAUUGAAAUAUUUCUUGUUCUUCAAUAUGUUUGGGUAGAACACCACAGGUGCAAACAGGUCCUACAUAGAUAGUGCUAAGCUCAUCCCACAAAUUCCUCAAUUUUGUGAAAUACGUUGCAAUGUCUGAAGAUCCUUGGGAUGUGGCAGCUGAUUCCUUUUGGAGUUGUAUGUAUUUAAAACUAUUAGACUAUCCAA
rnacentral:lncRNA from 1 species